rnacentral:rRNA from 1 species
GUUGGGUUAAGUCCCGCAACGAGCGCAGCCCUUGUCAUUAGUUGCCAUCAUUUGGUUGGGCACUCUAAUGAGACUGCCGGGUGACAAACCGGAGGAAAGGUGGGGAUGACGUCAAGUCCUCAUGGCCCUUAUGGGUAGGGCUUCACACGUCAUACAAUGGUCGGUACAGAGGGUUGCCAACCCGCGAGGGGGAGCUAAUCCCACAAAGCCGAUCGUAGUCCGGAUCGCAGUCUGCAACUCGACUGCGUGAAGUCGGAAUCGCUAGUAAUCGUGGAUCAGCAUGUCACGGUGAAUACGUUCCCGGGUCUU